GGACGGGCCCCGCACAAGCAGCGGAGCGUGUGGUUUAAUUCGAUGCUACACGAAGAACCUUACCAGGGUUUGACAUACAAGUAGUAGGGAAAGGAAACUGGACCGACCCUUCGGGGAGCUUGAACAGGUGCUGCAUGGCUGUCGUCAGCUCGUGUCGUGAGAUGUUCGGUUAAGUCCGCUAACGAGCGCAACCCUCGCUGUGUGUUACAAGUGUCACACGGAACUGCCGGUCAUAAACCGGAGGAAGGUGGGGAUGACGUCAAGUCAGCAUGGCCUUUAUAUCCUGGGCUACACACACGCUACAAUGGGAAGGGACAAUAGGUUGCGAAACCGCGAGGUGGAGCCAAUCCAGCAAAACUUCCCUCAGUUCAGAUUGCAGGCUGCAACUCGCCUGCAUGAAGUUGGAGUUGCUAGUAAACGCAGGUCAGCCAUACUGCGUUGAAUACGUUCCCGGGGCUU
rnacentral:rRNA from 1 species